AUACGUAGGUGGCGAGCGUUAUCCGGAUUUACUGGGUGUAAAGGGCGCGUAGGCGGGGGCGCAAGUCAGGUGUGAAAUCUAUGGGCUUAACCCAUAAACUGCACUUGAAACUGCAUCUCUUGAGUGCUGGAGAGGUAGAUGGAAUUCCUUGUGUAGCGGUGAAAUGCGUAGAUAUAAGGAAGAACACCAGUGGCGAAGGCGAUCUACUGGACAGUAACUGACGCUGAGGCGCGAAAGCGUGGGGAGCAAACAGGAUUAGAUACCCUGGUAGUCCACGCUGUAAACGAUGGAUACUAGGUGUGGGGGGACUGACCCCCUCCGUGCCGCAGUUAACACAAUAAGUAUUCCACCUGGGGAGUACGGCCGCAAGGUUGAAACUCAAAUGAAUUGACGGGGG
rnacentral:rRNA from 1 species